UACAGAGGGUGCGAGCGUUAAUCGGAAUUACUGGGCGUAAAGAGCGCGCAGGCGGUCGUUCAAGUCGAGUGUGAAAGCCCCCGGCUCAACUGGGGAGGGUCACUCGAUACUGAUCGACUCGAAGGCAGGAGAGGGAAGUGGAAUUCCCGGUGUAGUGGUGAAAUGCGUAGAUAUCGGGAGGAACACCAGUGGCGAAGGCGACUUUCUGGCCUGUUCUUGACGCUGAGGCGCGAAAGCUAGGGUAGCAAACGGG
rnacentral:rRNA from 1 species